AUGCUCGUACAGCGCACGUCAUGCUGCUUGCAUGCGCUGCGGAAACCCACGGCCCUAGUGAAACUUGACAUCUCCAAGGCGUUCGACACCAUCCAGUGGCCGUUACUUUUGGAGAUCCUGGAACAAAUUGGUUUUGGGGCAUGGUGGAGAGCUUGGAUCUGUGGUAUCCUAUCCACAUCAACCACCAAGAUUGCGGUCAAUGGAGUGCCCGGGGAGACAAUCUUCAAUUUCUACGACCUUCGGCAUGGGGAUCCAAUUUCUCCAAUGUUAUUCAUCUUGUGCAUGGAGCCGCUGCACAAGCUAUUCCUCAAGGCAACGGCUGCCGGCAUCCUCACACCCCUUGCGCGCUCGGGCCUCAAGCAACGGGUUUCGAUGUUUGCUCAUGAUGUCAUCAUCUUCCUCAAGCCGCUGAGGACGAAUCUGGUCGCAUGCGACUCCAUCAUGCUCAUCUUUGGACAGGCAUCCGGGCUUCAAGUCAACAUGGCGAAGAGCGCCGCACUACCGAUCCGUUGUUCCCAGGAGGAGUUCGCCCUAGUGUGUGACACACUUGGCUGCUCACUGUGGCGCAAUUCCAAGGGCUCGUGGACCAACUCGCGACGCGGUUACCCCAUUGGAGGGCGGUGA
rnacentral:rRNA from 1 species